rnacentral:tRNA from 1 species
GUGGCAUUGAUGUAACGGUUAGCAUCUCUCCCUGUGAAGGAGACUGUGCGGGUUCAAAUCCCGUAUGUCACCCCC